rnacentral:pre_miRNA from 1 species
UUAGUACUCCCUCUGUCCAACAAAAGAUGUCUCAAGUUUGUCAAAAUUUAGACGUAUCUAGACAUGACUUAGUGUAUAAGAUGCAUUAAAUUUAGUCAAAAUUGAGGCAUCCUUUAUUGGACGGAGAGAGUAGUAA